UGCAAUUGGAUUGAGAACAACGUACAACUCUUAUCGAUAAGCCAUUGGAGGGCAAGUCUGGUGCCAGCAGCCGCGGUAAUUCCAGCUCCAAUAGCGUAUAUUAACGUUGUUGCAGUUAAAAAGCUCGUAGUUGAAGUGAGGGAGUGUGUGGGUAUGAGAGCUAGUCUCAAGUACUCACAACCUCCCCCCUCCAAUCGGUGUAGUGGGGUAUUCAGUUAUUUCACUACUCCUUUGGUCGUUUACUGUGAGAAAAUUAGAGUGUUCAAAGCGGGCGUUUGUUUGAAUAGAUUAGCAUGGAAUAAUGAUUGAAGGCUUUCGUGUUCGAUUUGAUUGGUUUGUUCAUGGAAGCAAGGUUAAAAGGAACAGUUGGGGGUAUUCAUAUUCACUAGUUAGAGGUGAAAUUCUCGGAUUUAUGGAAGA
rnacentral:rRNA from 1 species